AUUGAACGCUGGCGGAAUGCUUUACACAUGCAAGUCGAGCGGCAGCGCGGGGCAACCUGGCGGCGAGCGGCGAACGGGUGAGUAAUGCAUCGGAACGUACCCCGUCGUGGGGAGUAACUACCCGAAAGGGUAGGCUAAUACCGCAUACGACCUGAGGGUGGAAAGACGGGGGACCGGAAAGGACCUCGCGCGAUGGGAGGCGGCCGAUGCCGGAUUAGCUAGUUGGUAGGGUAAAGGGCCUACCAAGGCGACGAUCCGUAGCUGGUCUGAGAGGACGACCAGCCACACUGGAACUGAGACACGGUCCAGACUCCUACGGGAGGCAGCAGUGGGGAAGUUUUGGUACAAU
rnacentral:rRNA from 1 species